rnacentral:rRNA from 1 species
GACGGGGGGGGCAAGUGUUCUUCGGAAUGACUGGGCGUAAAGGGCACGUAGGCGUGAAUCGGGUUGAAAGUGAAAGUCGCCAAAAAGUGGCGGAAUGCUCUCGAAACCAAUUCACUUGAGUGAGACAGAGGAGAGUGGAAUUUCGUGUGUAGGGGUGAAAUCCGUAAAUAUACGAAGGAACGCCAAAAGCGAAGGCAGCUCUCUGGGUCCCUACCGACGCUGGGGUGCGAAAGCAUGGGGAGCGAACAGG